CCCCAACAGACAACAGUCCUUAAUUAAAACCGAAUCUCGGGUGAUGAGCAGAGAGCUUUAAAGACACCAUGUGAUGAUCCUAUUGUGAGUCUGCACUCUCACAGACAUCCUCCUUACACUGUGGCUGUAUCAUCUUCUGCACACAUGAGAAAGGUGAAGGUCAGGAUCAGCUGCAGGGGAGCAGCAGAUUCACAGAUGCUUCAGUCAUGCAUCGCGUGCACUUUGUCUUCACUUCCACGGCGGCUGACAGUGGUGGUGGCGGGAGGGGGCAGCUGCUGAGCGCUUAGUAAACCCUGGAGUCGGCAAUCAGCAAACGCAGGUUUGGCACGUUUUCCUGAGCACGCUCUGUUUAUGCUUGUAAGCAAUUGAAGUCUUUAAGUCAACAACACAUUUACGGACCAAAUCUAUUUAUGAUGGACAUAAAUAAAUAAACAAGAGUUUUGAACAAGGAAGCUCGAAACACGCAUACGCACGCGUUUAUGUAUGCAAUGUUCACCGCGGGCAAGAAUGUGCUGUACCCGAUUCAUGAACUUGCUUUUAGCACAUGGUGUUCACAUCGGACAAGCAGAGAGGAUUUACAAAGACUUUUCAUUGCUUGAAAGCGCUUGGCGUUACUGGCGUCAACUAGGGGUAUGUUUUGGCAAGAGUCUGGUGGUACAAUGCAUAUUCCAAUACAUGUCUCACAAUACAAUAUGUCACAAUAAAGGCUGUACCAAAACAAGUUUUAACUUUUUUCUUUUUUUUUUAAUAGUAAAACUCUACCUGAAUAUUAAAAACGUCUUUCAUUGUAAUUUUAUCUGAGUCUACAAAGCACCACAAUCACAAUGUUACUGGCCACGCAACAGAUUCUCAAGUCGUCACAUAUUGACAAUUGGUCAAGGACACCUCCCCAUCCCUUUUCUGACGUUUUGAGUGUCCCAAACUCAAUGUUUUUUGACGUGCUGGCUGUUCAUAAAAUCAAGGGUCUGCAAUCCCAGGACGUGGUACCAGAUCCGGUAUUGGAUGUGGACUGGUCCUUGGGACGUGUCGUACCGGUACCCUAACCCGGCAUCGUACACAAUACCAGACCCAAAACGGUACCAGAUGCAGUGCUGGACCCAAACCA